UGAUGUGUUAGCAUGGAAUAAUGAAAUAUGACUUUAGUCCUAUUUUCGUUGGUUUAGGUACUUCAGUAAUGAUGAAUAGAAACGGUUAGGGGCAUUUGUAUUUGGUCGCUAGAGGUGAAAUUCUUGGAUUG
rnacentral:rRNA from 1 species